UACGUAGGGGGCGAGCGUUGUCCGGAUUCAUUGGGCGUAAAGAGCUCGUAGGCGGCUUGGCAAGUCGGGUGUGAAAACUCCAGGCUCAACCUGGAGAGGCCACCCGAUACUGCCAUGGCUAGAGUACGGUAGAGGGGGAUGGAAUUCCGCGUGUAGCAGUGAAAUGCGUAGAUAUGCGGAGGAACACCGAUGGCGAAGGCAAUCCCCUGGACCUGUACUGACGCUCAUGCACGAAAGCGUGGGGAGCAAACAGG
rnacentral:rRNA from 1 species